rnacentral:lncRNA from 1 species
AGUUGGUGCUGGCCUUAAAAGAUUGUAAAUGAGAUUGACACACACGCCUACUCUGGGCUUGCAGAGGUCAACUGAUCACGCCAUGCAUGUGAAAUUGAAUGGUCUGUGAUGCUGUGUUAUUGCAAAAAUUGGGUCUGCUCUCUGGAAUGGAGAGGGACUGGUUUUUUUUUUCUGGAGAGGAUAUGAGCAUUAUGGUUCCUCUCCUUGUUCUGGGCAUCUGGAUUCAGUGUAUGCUCUGUUCACCUGGCCAAGGAAUUCCUUUGUUGGUGGUUUCAGCAAGAUGGAAGAAUUCUUUAGCUUUGUAUGGAGUGGAUGCAGAUGAUCACUGGCAUGUACUUCAGGAAGAUGGAGAGGAGGGAGGUGGUACUUCAUGAGAAGGAAUUUCUGCAAAUCAGAGCCAAAGACACAGACUCAAGGCUUCCCAACCCAGGAACAGACUUCCAAGGUACACCUUUCUGACCCAGUGGUUUGCAAUAUCCCCAGCCUGGGGAUGUUAGGGAUCCACAGAAAGGCAUCCCAGAGUCUGGCCUCCAAUUUGGUCCUCUCCAUGAAACGUUCAAGAUUUGAAGAAAGCAGCUGUUGAGCUGACACUCAGCUACACGAGUCUUCACGAACACUGGAGACCAACCAGCCUCACUGCAAAUUCACCCAUCACCAAUUCAUGGAGUUUUCUUAUGGGUCCAGCAGUGAGAAUGCAUGAAAGGUCUCAGGCGGAGGCCACCAUCCUUGCUGCUCAACCAGUAGACAGUGA